CAUAUACUCACUCCGUCCAACAAAGGAUGUCUCAACUUUGACUAAAUUUGAAUGCAUCUAUACACUAAGUCAUGUCUAGAUACAUCCAAAUUUUAACAAACUUGAGACAUCUUUUGUUGGACGGAGAGAGUAUAAU
rnacentral:pre_miRNA from 1 species